rnacentral:rRNA from 1 species
UACGUAGGGGGCAAGCGUUGUCCGGAAUCAUUGGGCGUAAAGAGCGUGUAGGCGGCUCGAUAAGUCUGCUGUGAAAGUCCAGGGCUCAACCCUGGAAGGCCGGUGGAAACUGUCGGGCUAGAGUCCGGAAGAGGCGAGUGGAAUCCCGGUGUAGCGGUGAAAUGCGCAGAUAUCGGGAGGAACACCAAGGCGAAGCAGCUCGCUGGGACGGUACGUGACGCUGACGACGCG